ensembl:lncRNA
UGAAGUGAUGGGACCAGAAUGCUGAAAUUAAUACUAAGUCAUAAGAAAAGUAGAUAGUUGAAGCAAACUAUUGCCUAGAAGCUAAUACCCUUUCCUUUGAGAUGGUACCUAUGGGACCCAGGGAGGGGAGAGAAAGAAAAAAAGAACUCAGGGACCAAUCAGGUGGCUUGUUUCAAUCCUGCAUCUCAGCACAUAGCCUCUAAUUCAGCUUAAAAUGGGAAACAGAAUCUCACAAGCAUCACAGUUACGGAGACUGACCCAGAGUGGACUUCCUUCCUUUGAAUGGACUCCAUGAGGAACUGGAGCUUUGGUACCAGCAGCUGCCCCUUGCACCCAUCCGCCUCCUCGGGGAGUGCAGACGAAUUUGGGCUCAUUGCUGCUCAUAUCUGCCUGUUGGAGCACUUUUGUGGCCACUGCAGCUCACCUGAUGGAACGCUUUUGUCACCGAAGUAGGGAGGUCAUCUGAUUUGGCACCUAUAGGAAGCCACCCUGAUUGCAGGAUUUCCAGCCUUCUCCUACAUGUAAAUCAUCAAUAAACAUGACGUGACAAUUAAGACUGAGUGAGAGAUAGCAGAAACAAAUGGCAAAACCAAAUCUCCAAAGGCCUCAGAUAUUGGAAAUGUCUGCUUUAGUUCGAAGAAGAAAUGUAUUCUUCCACUCAUUUUGUAGACCUAGAAAGCAAAAUUGAUCUCUUCGGUAUAUAUUUUUUGACUUAGUUUUUAAAAAAAUACUGAUUUAUAUAUUUGCCUGCGCUGGGUCUUAGUUACAGCACACAGGAUCUUUGAUUUUUAUUGCAGCAUGUGGGUCUUUGUUAUGGCAUGUGGGACCUAGUUCCCUGACCAGGAACUGAACCUGGGCUCCCUGCAUUGUGAGCUUGGAGUCUUGGCCCUGGAGCACCAGCAAAGUCCUUCUUUGGUGUAUUUAAAGAAACUAGAAUAACUGGAAACAUGAACAAGGAAUAAAGGGCUACCCAAAA